GUGGUCCUCCCGGGUUUUGUCAUCUCAGCAACAGGAGUGCAGGCACCUGCUACUCAACCUGAGAAACUCGGGGACGAAAGAGAGGAAAACCCCAGAACUGAGAGGAAGGAAAGCCAGCAUACUUACCUGCUGGAAGUCCCGAGUCGAGUGGCUGGAUGAAGGAGAGAAGCAACGUCGGCUAACCACUCACCGUUCAUCCGGAGAGCUGCUGCAAUUACGACAGUGUGUGUUCGGCUCUGUGAAACAGAGCAACGGGGAGCAACAUGUUCCUUAGCCGCUCUGAAGCUAAUUUUUUGUCAGUUCACUGUGAGCUUAAAGUAACCUAGAGGGUCAUUUUUAGUGCAUUUCUCUCUCACAAAUAGGCCUAUAGGGUGGAGAAAUUAAGCACACUGCUUUAAUGCCUCUCAACUGAACUCACAUGUGUAUUUUGUUGCUUAUUUUCACAUAAUUCUGAAAUUGUUAUGGUGUAUUGUAUUUUGAAUGUCAAUGGUUACUUACCAUAAGUAUUGUUUAAUUAAUGUUUACAUGAAUAGAGAAAUAUUUGAGCAACUUAGAUGUUUAGUUCUCGUAUUUGAUAUAAUUGAAAAUUGUACAACAGAACUGUUUGAUUGAUGUGAUAUACGAGGUUGAUGCAAUAUUUGGUUUUACAUUUUAACCUUAAACAGUGCAUCUGAAACAGACUGAUUAGAAUUUACAUUUUAUGACCUGGUUAUAGGUCAGGUUUUUGGAGAGGAGAGGAAAAGUCCGAGGACCAGGACGAGAUUCCGGUCGUGAUAGAUGGCGAGGCAACCACUUUGAGGACAUUUCACCAUGAAGAAGAUACACACACACACACACACACACACACACACAAGGACCUUUGAAGUUGGCUGUUGUCAACAUAACUUGAAUUCUUAAAGGGCCCCAACGAGUACUUUUAUUUUGUUCAAGUGUGCACACUAUUUAUUUUAUUUUAUACUUCUUUUUCCUGUACAAAUUGGACACUAAUUUUUUACACUUUGUAACAAUACAAGAGUGGCUACUCAAAAGUUUACACUGUCUCUGAGUCAUUAUUGCUGCUCAAUACUUUGCCUCCUCACGAAUUUGGUGUCUUCUGAUUCUGGCCAGGGUCUUAUUACGAGCCCAAGUAGUUAUUGUGCUGUAAUUCACCUUUACAUCUCUAAAGUUGGUUACAUUAAACAUAGUUUUGCAUUAAUGACUGUUUCACAAAGUGGCAGAAGAACCUUUUACUUACAUAAAGGCAUCUAUGCUGCUUCACCUGUCUGUGGAUAGAGAGCAGGUUUCAGUGAUUGCAGUCAUUGGUUCUUUUUUAUCCUGUUGACAUCAACAGGAUAAAAAAGUUGUUUGAUAAAAUCAGGAUGAAACGUUUUCUCUCCUUUUUUUUGAUAGAAGUCAGUCUCUGCUGUCAGUUGGUUUCCACUGAAGUUCUGCACUGAAAUAUAAAACUCAUAGUGAGCUCAGCAUGAGUUUUAAUCCUAACCUGCUGCAGUGUCGGUGCUGUGGGUCAAACUGUGAUCUAUCCUCUCACAUCUACCUGUGCUGUCAGAGGAUCCACUGUCACCCUCCCCUGCACCUUCACACCUCGGAAG